UACGUAGGGUGCAAGCGUUGUCCGGAAUUAUCGGGCGUAAAGAGCUCGUAGGCGGUCUGUCGCGUCUGCUGUGAAAACUCGGGGCUUAACCCCGGGCCUGCAGUGGGUACGGGCAGACUAGAGUGAUGUAGGGGAGACUGGAAUUCCUGGUGUAGCGGUGAAAUGCGCAGAUAUCAGGAGGAACACCGAUGGCGAAGGCAGGUCUCUGGGCAUUAACUGACGCUGAGGAGCGAAAGCAUGGGGAGCGAACAGG
rnacentral:rRNA from 1 species